AAUGUUGGAAAUAGGAUCUGCUUCGAGUAGACUUGUAUAAACUGGUUUUUAUGGGACUUGUAGUUCCACAUGUUCGAAGGCUAACUAAUUAGGGAAGACAAUAUUAAGAGCUUUUAUAGAUCUAUUGAGAUUCAAAGUUCUUUUAAAUAAAUAUGUGUUAAUGUAAGUUUUCUUAUAGUAGGGCUGACGGAAUUUACUAAGUUCCUUUACUAAGGAAUGAAGCCGGAUUUCUGGAGAUGAAUAAUGGCUAAUGAUGGUCAUCUUGAAAGUAAUAAUGGUUUAAUUUAUAGUUAUCUUCAGAAGACAUCUUUUGGACAGCCAUUUUAGCUGAAGUUCCCAUUACUAAAGAAAUAAAGAUGCCACCAUGUGAUGAUCCUGAUGGGAACACUGACCUUAAAUCUGAACAUGAAUCCAGUGGAAAUAACAGCCGAAGCAAGUACAGAAAAGCCUUAAAAUUUGAUAUGAAGAUGACUCCAGGGGUGGAAAAAUUGGGCUCUAGGCCUGCUCACUUGAGUUCAAAAGAAACGGAGAAAAGCCUGUCUGCCUCUAUUUCAUGCCAACUAAACCAGUGUGGCAGACAGUUUUGUUCUGAGAAGAAUUUGAUGUACAAUACACCUUUGCCUUCUUCACUAGUUGCUUGAGAUUUCCAACAUUCUGUGGAUACAGCUGCUCUCUUCACCUCUGGUUGCUUGUAUUGUCAGCUCCUUAUCUGGUUGAGGGAAAAGCCUGUUGAAAUCAUGCUUUCCUUGAAAAAAGAAAUUGAUAUCUGUCAUCUUUUGUAAGGAAGAGAGGGGCUAAUGCCCUCUAUGGGGAUGAUUAAAAUAUAGCUGUUCCACCAAAGAAAGAUGAAUGUGUAGCAAUUCUUUAGUUUGUUCUGUUGCUAAUUUCAGGUGUGCUAUUUUUUUGCUUCAU